GCCUGCAACAUAGCAUUAACGCACCCGGUCCCAUUAGAACUCUACAAUUAAGCGUGCUCAGUCUAGAGUAGAACUGGGAUGGGUGACCGCCUAGGAAGUCCUAUUGUUUUACAUGCC
rnacentral:rRNA from 1 species